CCUCUGAAUCGGGGAUAACAUUGCGAAAGCGAUGCUAAUACCGGAUAACAUCUCAAAACCAUCUGGUUUUGAAAUUAAAAAAUGGCCUCUACAUGUAAGCUGUUGUUUGGAGAUGAGCCCGCGUACCAUUAGCUUGUUGGUAGGGUAAUGGCCUACCAAGGCAACGAUGGUUAGCUGGUCUGAGAGGAUGAUCAGCCACACUGGAACUGACACACGGUCCAG
rnacentral:rRNA from 1 species